GCGCCCUGAACCUGGAGAAAGGCUAGUACGUAAACGCCUACGUCAGAAUCUGGAGUCAGCUGGAGUGUGCCAGCAGCAAGAUGGCACUUACCAGAUGCUGGCACCUUGAUAUUUGACUUCCCAGCCUCCAGAACUGCCAUCUGGAGUGAAACUGAAGUCUGCCCAGAGCUGCUGGAAGCCCCAGCUGCCCUGCUGCCCACGGAGUCCUCUGAG